CGUGAGCGCGGUUUCUCAUUAACCCCAUGAACUCGUGAUGCCAAAACACUGCUGCUGCCGCUGCAGUGUGAAUUUCAGCCUGCCUGGACUGUUUUCAACACGGCAGGAUUAUCAUUCUGGUACCUGCCGAUGACCUUUCGGAGUUGUCACCAAAUCAUCUACCCUUAAAAGUGAUGCGAGUGUUGUGCUGCCGUGCUGAUGGAUAGUGAAGAAGAAGAACUGUGAUGGUGCUUCUGCAGAGGUGUGAUACAGUCACUCCGCCAGAGAAGAAUAUACAAGGCAGCCAUGAACGGACAUACAAGAAGUCUGGAGAAGUAUACCUGGUAACAAAUGAAGAAAAGGACUGAAAUGACGAGCUGCUUAAAGGAAAAACAAAACUGAGUGUUUGCACUUGAUAUAAUAUUUGCUAAUGUUUCUUACAAAAAAAACAUGUUCUACGACUAAAAUUAUGAAUAUGUGAGAGUGUUAGUUACUUGCUAGUUGAUAUGAAAACAGUUUUCUGUUGCUGUUUGUCAACAUGUUUGAGUCAUAACUUACUGGUAGAUGCCGUUGUAGACCAGCAGCUGAGCAAUGAGAGUGGCCAGCAGGGCAGUGGUCAGCCCUAAACCAAAGCCACUCCUGGAGCGGUCAAAUGUCCACCACAGACCCAGAGACAGGGCAGCCAGAGUUAGCGAUAGCUGCACAUUGUUAGCAAAGUCCAGUUUCUGUAAGGUACUUUGAGUUAAGCAAAAUAUUCUUAUGUUAACAUACAUUUUGAAAACAUUGUGAUGUUAACUCAAGAAUUGAGUUUGUGCAGGUUCCCAAGUUUUUGCUGGUCCACACAUUUGGAGAGCAGUAAACAGGUUCCACAAAAACUUUGUAG
ensembl:antisense si:dkey-151p11.2 si:dkey-151p11.2